rnacentral:rRNA from 1 species
GCAUGCAGUCGGACGAGAAACUUCCUUCGGGAAGUGGAAAGUGGCAAACGGGGUAGUAAGGCGUAGGUGACGUACCAUCAGGUCUGGGAUAGCCACGGGAAACCGUGAUUAAUACCGGAUAAUCUCUUCGAGUAUGGUGCUUGAAGAGCAAAGGUGUGAUUCCGCCGGAUGAGCGGCUUACGUGAUAUUAGGUUGUUGGUGAGGUAACGGCUCACCAAGCCUUAGAUGUCUAGGGGGUGUGAGAGCAUGGCCCCCACCACUGGGACUGAGACACUGCCCAGACACCUACGGGUGGCUGCAGUCGAGAAUCUUCGGCAAUGGACGCAAGUCUGACCGAGCGACGCCGCGUGCGGGAUGAAGGCCCUUGGGUUGUAAACCGCUGUCAGAGGGGAUGAAAUGCGAGAGGGCUAUCCCUCUCGUUUGACAGAGCCUCAGAGGAAGCACGGGCUAAGUACGUGCCAGCAGCCGCGGUAACACGUACUGUGCGAACGUUAUUCGGAAUCACUGGGCUUAAAGGGUGCGUAGGCGGUUUAAUAAGUAGGGUGUGAAAUGCCAGGGCUCAACCUUGGCACGGCGCUCUAAACUGUUAAACUUGAGUGAGAUAGGGGUGUACGGAACUUCCGGUGGAGCGGUGAAAUGCGUUGAUAUCGGAAGGAACACCGGUGGCGAAAGCGGUACACUGGGUCUUAACUGACGCUGAGGCACGAAAGCUAGGGUAGCGAACGGGAUUAGAUACCCCGGUAGUCCUAGCCGUAAACGAUGAGUACUAGUUGGGAGGAGCUUCGGCUUCUC